AUUGAACGCUGGCGGCAGGCCUAACACAUGCCAGUCGAGCGGGGACUUCGGUCCUAGCGGCGAACGGGUGAGUAAUGCUUGGGAAUCUGCCCAGUAGUGGGGGAUAACGUCCCGAAAGGGACGCUAAUACCGCAUACGUCCUACGGGAGAAAGAGGGGGAUCUUCGGACCUCUCGCUAUUGGAUGAACCCAAGUCGGAUUAGCUAGUUGGUAGGGUAAUGGCCUACCAAGGCGACGAUCCGUAGCUGGUCUGAGAGGAUGAUCAGCCACACUGGAACUGAGACACGGUCCAGACUCCUACGGGAGGCAGCAGUGGGGAAUAUUGGACAAUGGGCGAAAGCCUGAUCCAGCCAUGCCGCGUGUGUGAAGAAGGCCUUCGGGUUGUAAAGCACUUUAAGCGGGGAGGAAGGUUCGCGGCCUAAUACGUCGCGGAAUUGACGUUACCCGCAGAAUAAGCACCGGCUAACUCUGUG
rnacentral:rRNA from 1 species